rnacentral:misc_RNA from 1 species
AAACUCUCAAACCACAUCAUUUGUUUGAUGUGGCUUUGGAUGUGGGGGUUGCCGGCUUUCUUCUCAGAGAGCCCUGCUCCCCUGAAAUGCAUUAGUGGUAUCUGGAGUGGAAAACUGCUAGGUGUGAUAAUACUGUCUAUGCCUUUGGUUAUGCCACAAUGUGCUGCUUCUAAACCGCACAUUUUUUUUUGUGCUUUUGACAA